rnacentral:rRNA from 1 species
GAUGAACGCUAGCGGGAGGCUUAAUACAUGCAAGUCGAACGGUAAGGUCUAGCUUGCUAGAUACACGAGUGGCGCACGGGUGAGUAACGCGUACACUAUCUACCAUGAAGAGAGGGAUAGCCCUGGGAAACUGGGAUUAAUACCUCAUAGUAUUAUUGAUUAACAUUAAUAAUUAAAGGAUUCGUCCGCUUCAUGAUGAGUGUGCGUCCCAUUAGCUAGUUGGUAGGGUAACGGCCUACCAAGGCGACGAUGGGUAGGGGGCGUGAGAGCGUGAACCCCCACACGGGUACUGAGACACGGACCCGACUCCUACGGGAGGCAGCAGUAAGGAAUAUUGGACAAUGGAGGCAACUCUGAUCCAGCCAUCCCGCGUGCAGGAAGACGGCCCUAUGGGUUGUAAACUGCUUUUAUAUGGGAAGAAUGUCGUGCAUUUAUGUGCGUUUGACGGUACCAUAAGAAUAAGCACCGGCUAACUCCG